rnacentral:rRNA from 1 species
GACGAACGCUGGCGGCGUGCUUAACACAUGCAAGUCGAACGGAAAGGCCCUGCUUUUGUGGGUUGCUCGAGUGGCGAACGGGUGAGUAACACGUGAGUAACCUGCCCUUGACUUUGGGAUAACUUCAGGAAACUGGGGCUAAUACCGGAUAGGAGCUCCUGCUGCAUGGUGGGGGUUGGAAAGUUUCGGCGGUUGGGGAUGGACUCGCGGCUUAUCAGCUUGUUGGUGGGGUAGUGGCUUACCAAGGCUUUGACGGGUAGCCGGCCUGAGAGGGUGACCGGCCACAGUGGGACUGAGAUACGGCCCAGACUCCUACGGGAGGCAGCAGUGGGGAAUAUUGCACAAUGGGCGGAAGCCUGAUGCAGCAACGCCGCGUGCGGGAUGACGGCCUUCGGGUUGUAAACCGCUUUCGCCUGUGACGAAGCGUGAGUGACGGUAAUGGGUAAAGAAGCACCGGCUAACUACGUG